rnacentral:misc_RNA from 1 species
GUGAGUCAUCGAAUCUUUGAACGCAUCUUGCGCCCUUUGGUAUUCCUUAGGGCAUGCCUGUUUGAGUGUCACGAAUACUAUUUGGGCCACGUCUUUUUUCUUAAUGUUAAUCGACGAGGUUCCAGCGUUGAGCGUCUGCCUCGCCUUUCGGCCUGGCUCGCUUUAAAUGUAUUAGCUGGGUUGGCUGGUUGCAGCCUUCGCCUUUGGUAUGAUAAGUAUUAUGCCGUUGGUUGGGGUUAGCGCCGUUCUAUAGCCACCUGCUUCUAAUCAAGGAGUGGUAUUGGACCUUGCUGUGCUUGC